rnacentral:lncRNA from 1 species
GUGAGACAUAAAUGAAGGAUUAGCACCAAGAGUGCUUUUUACCUUGGAAGAUCUAAUUAGAUUAAAAAAACAUAGCCUUGACCCUUUUCAAAAUAAGUGUCAAUGAAAAGACUUACAAGCUGCUAGAGCCAGAGAUGAUUACAGGAAAAAAAAUCAUUAUGCUGAUAAUGUUGGCUUUUGAGGCUGUCCAGACAGAAGGAAAGUUAAAUGGACCGUGAAACAUACAUAGAAGAAAUUUUAAACUAUGA